UCAGGUUUUUGAGUUGUCCUGUCAGGUGUUGCCUGGGCCACCUGGACACCUGGCGAGCUACCCAAGAAUCCUUAAAACAAACCAUCUUAUUAGUGUUUAGCCCGUUUUUGACCAGGCUAGUCUCGAGGGAAGUUUCUAUGGUAACUGAAGGCCAGACUUAUUUAAAACAAAGCCUGAUUCACUGGAGUAAGUUGAUAAUCUUGCUUUAUAUAAAAACACAGCUUUAGAACAUACAGGCUUAUAUUCAUUAAACUCUGUGCUUGAGAAAGGCCUGUCUUCAUGUGCUUUGACAGACAUUCGUAUUUGGUCCAUCCUAGUUAAAGGAGAGAAGGGCUUUUUUUUUCUUAUUACCCCAGUUAGCUGAGUAAUUUCUGGGAAGGGUAUUCUAAUUGAAAUGAUUAAUUUGGGAAACCUAAUUAUGUUUCUAUGUUAAAACUCAUUGCAAAAAAUAUUCAAUACAAAAGGGAAGAUGUGGAACAAGACUCCAGGGAGAGAGGAGAAGUGUGUCACUAGGUGGUAGUAGAAACAGAUCUGCUUUUGACCUUUAAGACGACGGAGAUGAUUCAUGAAGCUACUCACAGGAACCAAUCAACUGCAAUGAUGAGAGUGAUGUCAUCAGUAGGAAGUCCAACAGAGGCUACCUGAUCAGAUCUAAGAAGGCAUCAGCAGGACUGAUUUGCUCGAUCUUCUGCUGCUUUCCAAACUCCUCUUUCGAUCCUUUUCCCGGGUGGAUGAUGAGGACGACUAAGAUGCCAAUGAAG